CAAAAGACCUCUCUCAGUUCGGAUCGAAGUCUGCAACCCGACUUCGUGAAGCUGGAUUCGCUAGUAAUCGCGCAUCAGCCAUGGCGCGGUGAAUACGUUCCCGGGCCUUGUACACACCGCCCGUCAAGCCAUGAAAGCCGGGGGUACCUGAAGUACGUAACCGCAAGGAGCGUCCUAGGGUAAAACUGGUAAUUGGGGCUAAGUCGUAACAAGGUAUC
rnacentral:rRNA from 1 species